AACAUAUCUUUAAAUCAACCAAGUGUUUGUAUUGUUUUCUUGGAGAAUUAAAUUUAAAAAUAUAUUGGAGUAUUUUUAGUUUGUCUUCGUUGAAACUAGGUUGUGUUUGUAUUUCUACUUGAGUCAAGUAGAUAUGAUUAAAAUGAUAAAGUUUUUAUGGUGUGGUUAUUUAGAUUAAAUAGCUUAAUUGUUGAGUAAACUUGAUUGCUAACUAGAUUAAGUUUUUAAUUCUACUUGAUUAUCAACUGCUUUUAAUGCAAAAAAGUUCAUUUGGAUUUGAGAAAAGGGAACAACAUUUUCAGAGUUUUUCUUCUUUAACUCUAAAAAUAAAAUAUAAUAAUAUCAGUGGUUUUUAUUAAGGAAUUACUAUAGUUAAAAAGGCUGAAAGGAAAAAAUAUGACGAUUUGUUUCAAGAAAGUCAAAAAAUAAUAAAUAAAGAUUAUAUUGAUUGUGAUGACCAAGAGAUUCAUUUAAAGACACACCGAUCUUCAACAUCUUAAAAUAAAAAGGAUAAAUAUGAUUUCCAUUAUCUCAAGCAAUUUUAUGACAAAUUCAUUCAUGAUCAAAUUUAAUAUGGCAGCUGGAAAAGACAAAGGAUCGUUUUAGUCUAUACAACUUAAUAAAAGUUUGUGCAUCGACUGCUCACUAAUCAUAAACAGAGUCGAUUGUCGAUGCAAUAAUUACUGAUUCGUUAAAGCUGGCAACUUCUACUUGUGUUAAAGUACUUUAAAUCCAACAGAUAUCAUUGUUACGAUAUUAAUUUGUUUGUAAAUUGUUUUAAAAAAUAACUUUUAAAUAAA